rnacentral:rRNA from 1 species
AUAGCGUAUAUUAAAGUUGUUGCAGUUAAAAAGCUCGUAGUUGGAUUUCAAGGGAAGCAGUAUGGAUUCAUGCUGCCCCCUACCAGUCUUUGACUGUUACUGUGAGAAAAUUAGAGUGUUUCAAGCAGGCUGUUGCAGGAAUACAUUAGCAUGGAAUAACGAAUGUGUCUAGAAUCUUGGUUAAUUCUAGAUUACGAUUAAUAGGGACAGUUGGGGGCAUUAGUAUUUAAUUGUCAGAGGUGAAAUUCUUGGAUUUGUUAAAGACUAACGUAUG